UGAGGAAUAUUGGUCAAUUGGGCGGAAGCCUGAACCAGCCAAGUCGCGUGAGGGAAGACGGCCCCUACGGGUUGUAAAACCUCCUUUUGCCGGGGAGCAAUGCCCAGCUCGCGAGCUGGGAAGGAGAGUACCCGGAGAAAAGCAUCGGCUAACUCCGUGCC
rnacentral:rRNA from 1 species